CCUACGGGGGGCUGCAGUGGGGAAUAUUGGACAAUGGGCGAAAGCCUGAUCCAGCCAUGCCGCGUGUGUGAAGAAGGCCUUCGGGUUGUAAAGCACUUUCAGUGGGGAAGAAAGCCUUGGGGCUAAUACCCUCGAGGAAGGACAUCACCCACAGAAGAAGCACCGGCUAACUCCGUGCCAGCAGCCGCGGUAAUACGGAGGGUGCGAGCGGUAAUCGGAAUUACUGGGCGGAAAGCGCGCGUAGGCGGUCUGAUAAGCCGGUUGUGAAAGCCCCGGGCCCAACCUGGGAACGGCAUCCGGAACUGUCAGGCUAGAGUGCAGGAGAGGAAGGUAGAAUUCCCGGUGUAGCGGUGAAAUGCGUAGAGAUCGGGAGGAAUACCAGUGGCGAAGGCGGCCUUCUGGACUGACACUGACGCUGAGGUGCGAAAGCGUGGGUAGCAAACAGGAUUAGAUACCCUGGUAGUC
rnacentral:rRNA from 1 species